UUGGCCUUCGCCUAUUGAAGGAAGGCCCCUAGUUGACGUUGGUGACCUCGCCGGUGGAGGAAGCCAAAAGUGGAGUAGGUCAAGACUGACCGAACCACUCUAAAUCUCUGGUUUGCAUUUAUUUUGAGCACUUUAUCAUUACUGCAAACCUCCUACAUAGCUACUGCUCUCUGCGCUUUUACGAACAAGUUUCUAAGUUCUAAU
rnacentral:lncRNA from 1 species